CUGCACUGGGAAGAGAUAGUGCCUUUCUAUGCAAUGUAGACAGGAAAAAGGGAAGGACAAUGAACUGCAAGCGACAGAGCUGCACACAGGGAAGCGAUGUGACCGUAGUUGAAGCAGAGAGGUCAUUCAGUACUCUGGCUCGUGUUACAUGGAGGAUACAUGGAAGAUAAUGCUGUCAGUGGCUAUUAGCCAUGAUGGCUAUGCUCUGCCUCCAUGGUUGGGGGCCGUAUGCUUCUGAAUACCUGUUGUUGGAAAUCACAGGAAAGGAGAGUGCUGUUGCACUCAGGUUCUGCUUCUGUGCUUCCUAUAAUGAGCAUCUGGGUGGCCGCUGUGAGAACAGAAUGCUGAACUAGAUGGGACUUUGGCCUGAUCUAGGAGGCUCUUCUCAUGUUCUAUGUGAUUAACUGCCUCAGGUCAACUAUGUGUUAAGAGCACCUCACAGAUUUGGGAACCUUAGCCAUUGAGUCAAAACUUGCAAGAAAACUAAACAUUGAUUAUAUAAUUGAAACAUUUUCUAACAGAAAAGCCCGCAAAGCCCUGUAUAAUGUACUAUAGAUGAAUAGAGCGAUGUUCAGUCAUAAACAGUGUGUUUUAAUUCAAAUGUAUUAACACUACUAAUUAAGUAGUUUAGUAAAGUAGUAGCACUAAAAAUGUUACGUUUAUUUAUUUUCACUUGGGUUUGUAAACAGUGACAUUUUUAAUAAAUGUAUUAACCAUC